UCCAAGCACCCCUCGGGGGGGCGCCAAAGAGCACAGAGGGUGUGCAAGUCUUUAUAUAGUUUGAGGUUGAGGUAAAAAAAAAAAAAUGUGCACGUUAAAAAAUUCUGAUAAUACACUAGAAUAGAUAAUGUACACAAAAGUCUGAAUAAAAACUA